CCGCGAGCGCUGCAAGGGCCGCAUCCAAAGGCAACUGGAGAUCACCGGCAGGACCACGACCAGUGAGGAGCUGGAGGACAUGCUGGAGAGUGGGAACCCCGCCAUCUUUGCCUCUGGGAUCAUCAUGGACUCCAGCAUCUCCAAGCAGGCUCUGAGCGAGAUUGAGACGCGACACAGUGAGAUCAUCAAGCUGGAGAACAGCAUCCGUGAGCUACACGACAUGUUCAUGGACAUGGCCAUGCUCGUGGAGAGCCAGGUGAGCGCCAGGCCCCCUGCCCUCCACCCCAGCCCACACCAGCACCCAGGGCUGCACUAACCUCGCCCUUUCUGCCCGACACGCUGCCCUGCCGGGGAGGGACCAAGUUCUCAGGUAACCAAUCACCCACUGUUGAAGCUGCUGCCAGGGCCCUGCCCACCUGAAGGUCCCUGUCCUCUGCAUGGCUCUGCUUGAGCUUCAAGGACCCCAGGCCCUGCAUGGCCCCACCCCCUAUACCCCGCCGUCUCCCAUUCCCCUCCUGUUUCUUCAUGGGGCCACUGUGGGCCAUGCAUUUCCCCAGAGA
rnacentral:sRNA from 1 species